ensembl:scaRNA small Cajal body-specific RNA 18
CGGUCGAUGAUGAUGUGACCACUGCGCAAUCUGAGUUCUAGGAACCAGAUGAUGGAGUGGAUGCUGAGAGCCGACUGAGACCU